rnacentral:ncRNA from 1 species
AUUCACACAAACGAUGAGUACCCUAUCCAAAUGGUCGCCAGAGAGUCGGCAGCGCUGAGAAGUCGAUGGCCAGGGUAGGUGAAAUUGGGUCGUUUGCGUUACGUUCGGUGGGUGCGCCUUAAGCCAAGAGCGGUCCGAAAUUCGGACAAGUUAGGUGGUACCGCGCGCUUGCGUCCUAUGU